UACGGGGGGAGCAAGCGUUGUUCGGAUUUACUGGGCGUAAAGGGCGCGUAGGCGGUCAGCACAAGUCAGUUGUGAAAUCUCCGAGCUUAACUCGGAAAGGUCAACCGAUACUGUGCGACUAGAGUGCGGAAGGGGCAACUGGAAUUCUUGGUGUAGCGGUGAAAUGCGUAGAUAUCAGGAGGAACACCGGUGGCGAAGGCGGGUCUCUGGGCCGAUACUGACGCUGAGGAGCGAAAGCGUGGGGAGCGAACAGG
rnacentral:rRNA from 1 species